rnacentral:lncRNA from 1 species
AUGGUGUGUGUCCAAGAUGGUGGUCCUUAUCCAAGAUGGCAGUGUGUGUCCAAGGUGUUGUGUGUCCAAGGUGGUGGUGCUUUUUCAAGAUGGUGGUGUGUAUCCAAGCUGGCAGUGUGUCCAAGAUGGCGGUGCUUGUCCAAGAUGGUGUUAUGGGUCCAAGAUGGCAGUGUGUGUCCCAGAUGGUGUGUGUCCAAGAUGGUGGUGCUUAUCCAAGAUGGCCGUGUGUGUCCAAGAUGGUGUGUGUCCAAGAUGGUGGUGCUUAUCCAAGAUGGCAGUGUGUGUCCAAGAUGGUGAUGC